CCUACGGGAGGCAGCAGUGGGGAAUAUUGCACAAUGGGCGAAAGCCUGAUGCAGCGACGCCGCGUGAGGGAUGACGGCCUUCGGGUUGUAAACCUCUUUCAGCAGGGAAGAAGCGAGAGUGACGGUACCUGCAGAAGAAGCGCCGGCUAACUACGUGCCAGCAGCCGCGGUAAUACGUAGGGCGCAAGCGUUGUCCGGAAUUAUUGGGCGUAAAGAGCUCGUAGGCGGCUUGUUGCGUCGGUUGUGAAAGCCCGGGGCUUAACCCCGGGUCUGCAGUCGAUACGGGCAGGCUAGAGUGUGGUAGGGGAGAUCGGAAUUCCUGGUGUAGCGGUGAAAUGCGCAGAUAUCAGGAGGAACACCGGUGGCGAAGGCGGAUCUCUGGGCCAUUACUGACGCUGAGGAGCGAAAGCGUGGGGAGCGAACAGGAUUAGAUACCCUGGUAGUCCACGCCGUAAACGUUGGGAACUAGGUGUUGGCGACAUUCCACGUCGUCGGUGCCGCAGCUAACGCAUUAAGUUCCCCGCCUGGGGAGUACGGCCGCAAGGCUAAAACUUAAAUGAAUUGACGG
rnacentral:rRNA from 1 species